GUUCAGGCAUGGAACUUAUGGAAUGAUGGAAAGCCAAUGGAUAUGGUGGACUCUUCCGUUAUUGAUAAUUGUUCACCAGCUGAAGUUCUACGGUGUAUUCAUGUAGGACUCUUAUGUGUGCAAGACAAUCCAAACAAUAGGCCACUCAUGUCAAAGGUUGUGUUCAUGUUGGAGAACGAAGCCACGUCACUCUCAACUCCAAGACAACCUGUGUAUUUUGCACAAAGGAACUCCGAAGCAAAAGAAACAGGAGAAAAUACCACCAGCUCUAUGAACAGCAUGAGCCUCACAGUGUUGGAAGGGCGGUAG
rnacentral:rRNA from 1 species